UUUAUGGAGAGUUUGAUCCUGGCUCAGGAUGAACGCUGGCGGCGUGCCUAAUACAUGCAAGUCGAGCGAACGGACGAGAAGCUUGCUUCUCUGAUGUUAGCGGCGGACGGGUGAGUAACACGUGGAUAACCUACCUAUAAGACUGGGAUAACUUCGGGAAACCGGAGCUAAUACCGGAUAAUAUUUUGAACCGCAUGGUUCAAAAGUGAAAGACGGUCUUGCUGUCACUUAUAGAUGGAUCCGCGCUGCAUUAGCUAGUUGGUAAGGUAACGGCUUACCAAGGCAACGAUGCAUAGCCGACCUGAGAGGGUGAUCGGCCACACUGGAACUGAGACACGGUCCAGACUCCUACGGGAGGCAGCAGUAGGGAAUCUUCCGCAAUGGGCGAAAGCCUGACGGAGCAACGCCGCGUGAGUGAUGAAGGUCUUCGGAUCGUAAAACUCUGUUAUUAGGGAAGAACAUAUGUGUAAGUAACUGUGCACAUCUUGACGGUACCUAAUCAGAAAGCCACGGCUAACUACGUGCCAGCAGCCGCGGUAAUACGUAGGUGGCAAGCGUUAUCCGGAAUUAUUGGGCGUAAAGCGCGCGUAGGCGGUUUUUUAAGUCUGAUGUGAAAGCCCACGGCUCAACCGUGGAGGGUCAUUGGAAACUGGAAAACUUGAGUGCAGAAGAGGAAAGUGGAAUUCCAUGUGUAGCGGUGAAAUGCGCAGAGAUAUGGAGGAACACCAGUGGCGAAGGCGACUUUCUGGUCUGUAACUGACGCUGAUAUGCGAAAGCGUGGGGAUCAAACAGGAUUAGAUACCCUGGUAGUCCACGCCGUAAACGAUGAGUGCUAAGUGUUAGGGGGUUUCCGCCCCUUAGUGCUGCAGCUAACGCAUUAAGCACUCCGCCUGGGGAGUACGACCGCAAGGUUGAAACUCAAAGGAAUUGACGGGGACCCGCACAAGCGGUGGAGCAUGUGGUUUAAUUCGAAGCAACGCGAAGAACCUUACCAAAUCUUGACAUCCUUUGACAACUCUAGAGAUAGAGCCUUCCCCUUCGGGGGACAAAGUGACAGGUGGUGCAUGGUUGUCGUCAGCUCGUGUCGUGAGAUGUUGGGUUAAGUCCCGCAACGAGCGCAACCCUUAAGCUUAGUUGCCAUCAUUAAGUUGGGCACUCUAAGUUGACUGCCGGUGACAAACCGGAGGAAGGUGGGGAUGACGUCAAAUCAUCAUGCCCCUUAUGAUUUGGGCUACACACGUGCUACAAUGGACAAUACAAAGGGCAGCGAAACCGCGAGGUCAAGCAAAUCCCAUAAAGUUGUUCUCAGUUCGGAUUGUAGUCUGCAACUCGACUACAUGAAGCUGGAAUCGCUAGUAAUCGUAGAUCAGCAUGCUACGGUGAAUACGUUCCCGGGUCUUGUACACACCGCCCGUCACACCACGAGAGUUUGUAACACCCGAAGCCGGUGGAGUAACCUUUUAGGAGCUAGCCGUCGAAGGUGGGACAAAUGAUUGGGGUGAAGUCGUAACAAGGUAGCCGUAUCGGAAGGUGCGGCUGGAUCACCUCCUUUCU
rnacentral:rRNA from 1 species